CUCGGAUAAUAUUUGUAUACUCAAAAUAUUGCCCACCUGAAGACCUUACUCAAAAACUCCCGUCAAAGCGGAGUUACUUACUUCCUUGCUCUGCUCGUGUCUUCAGGGAUCAUCGUCAUCAUCGAAGGUUCAUGUCAUAAAAUGAAUCCCGAUUAGAAACUUAACGACAAAAACUCAUGCCUCAACUCAUGCUCUAUAUUAUAUUCUAUCGCUUAAUCAACUCUACAUAAACUCUUUACUCAUUUCAAAUCCUUAAGUCCAAGGAUAGGGUUCAAGAAAAUCAUGGUUCUAGGUCUCGAUUCAUCUCUCAUAUAAGACUCGUCUAAUCUCAUUCAAACACUUAGGCAACACAAUCACAUAAGGCACAUAAGAAAAUACCAUCAAACAUCAUCAAGACAUGUUCUGUUUUCCCACAGACUCGACUUCAAAAUUUAACACGUUCUGACUCCGACAUCCCCUGGACUCCAGACUCAUACCAAAAGAAAGGUAUUUGAGUCUAGUUUCAUUUAAAAAAAAGUAGAGUCAUAAACUCCAAAUGGUUUGGGAGAUAUGGCGUUUUUACCAAGGUCUACCAUAUUCGGCAGUUUUGAGCAAUCGGAAACAUUGAUUUUUUAAAAAUAGUAAACGUUGUCAAACUGCGCUCAAAUUUGGUGGAUAUCUAGCCCAUACAGUAAGGUUGAUACCAUAAAAAUUUGGAAAGCUAGAUCACACAGGAAGUUACUGAAAUGAAUGACUUUGUCCCCUGUUCUCUGAAAUUCCCGGUAGAAAUGUGCAGAUUUGGUUUUGCAUUUUAUAAAAAUAGUAAAUCAAGUCCAAAUGACUUGAAAUUUUACAGAGGUGCUCAAGACUCAUGUAGGGACAUGCUGUAAAAUUUUCAAAGCCAUUAGACAUCGAAAACGCGUCGAUCACAGUAGGUCAGUAGCCUACGAAAAAUCACCAAAACUCAUCUCAAACUCUUAAAUGCUCAAUUCAACAUUCCUUCAAAGAAAACCAAUCAAAGCUCAUUUUAAACACAUAUAACACUCAAAAACAUUCAAAAAUAUUUAAAAUACUCAUCAUACUUAAAUUAACUCUCCUCUUUUACAUCUUAACUCAAAUCUCAAGGAAAACGUUUCUACAACGUAUCAAGUAAAUCCCCUUCUCAAUUUCAUGCUUAAAAACACUCAAUCAUUCAAAAUGACUUCAUACAUCAUGUAACUCAUUUUACACAUAUAUUUCCCUUUUUAUCAUGUAAACUAACUCUAGUGAAAAACUCAUAUAUCAACAUAAAAUUCUCAACAAAAGCAUGACAACUUUCACAUAAUGGUCAUAAGCAAAAUAGACCUCAUGUUAUCAAUUGUCGACUUCUCAAGAUAUGAAAACUCAAAAAUUCUCAUAAACUAACUCAAGUCAAAAUUUUACUUAGCUUAGAAAAGACUUAAUCAAACAUAUUAAAACACUACUAUCAUGCUCAAAAACAUAUAUCUUAAGCCAAAACACUUAAUAGACACAUAGACAAGAAAGUCCUAAUUUUUAUUAAACUAAACUCUUUGAAAUUUUAUAAACUCACAUGGAUCUUUAAUCUCAUCAUAUAUCUAUCAAUUUUAGCCAUUUAAUCUCACAUCAAAACCAUCAAUUCACAAAUAAGGGCAUAUAUACACAUAUCCCUAAUUCUAGUAAACUAACUCACAUCAAAACUCCAAUUGACAUCAUAUACUCAAAUUACUCCAUCAAUCAUCAUCAUAUACACCUCAUAGACUCAUUUACAUCAUCAAUUUAUCUAUUAACUCUUUGACUCAAAAGUUACCAUUUUUGGGUAAACUAACUCCCAUCAAAGUUUCACAUCUCAAAGCAUAUAUUUCACACAUACAUCAAUCAUCAAUACACAUCACAUAAAUCACUUUUCUCACCUCAAUUCAAGGAAAGAAGAAGAAAAAUUUUUGAAGGGUAAGAUACCCAAAUUUUCGAAAAUUAGAAGAAAAAGGGAGGGGGUGAUUUCUUGCUUCAAUCCUUCAAAUAAACUCAUAUACAAACUCAUACAAAUUAUAUCUAUGAAUAUGGAGAUCACUUACCCAAGUUUUCACCAAUUAUCCAAACUUUCUCUCACUAUUCUUGAAGCCUACCUUCAAGGAUUCUCUUGAAUUUAAGUUGAUAGGAUGUGUUUAUGGAGGAUUUAAGUAGUGAUUUAUGUGUUUGGCAUACUUGGGUGAAGCUUCGAAGGUUUCAUCAAUGGCUAACAAUGGAGGAAAGUAGAGAGAUGAAGGG
rnacentral:lncRNA from 1 species